GGGCCCGCACAAGCAGCGGAGCAUGUGGUUUAAUUCGACGCAACGCGAAGAACCUUACCAGGUCUUGACAUCCAGUAAAACUUGCGGAGAUGCAAGGUGUGCUUGCACAUACUGAGACAGGUGGUGCAUGGUUGUCGUCAGCUCGUGUCGUGAGAUGUUGGGUUAAGUCCCGCAACGAGCGCAACCCUUGUUAAUAGUUACUAACACGUAAAGGUGAGGACUCUAUUGAGACUGCCGGGGACAACUCGGAGGAAGGUGGGGACGACGUCAAAUCAUCAUGCCCCUUAUGACCUGGGCUACACACGUGCUACAAUGGCCGUUACAAAGAGGCGCGAAGCCGUAAGGUGGAGCAGAUCUCAAAAAAGCGGUCUCAGUUCGGAUUGUGGGCUGCAACCCGCCCACAUGAAGUCGGAGUUGCUAGUAAUCGCGGAUCAGCAUGCCGCGGUGAAUACGUUCCCGGGCCUU
rnacentral:rRNA from 1 species